rnacentral:rRNA from 1 species
AAACGCUGGCGGCGUGCCUAACACAUGCAAGUCGUACGAGAAAGGGUCCUUCGGGACCUGAGUAAAGUGGCGCACGGGUGAGUAACGCGUGGAUAAUCUGCCCUUCAGUUGGGAAUAACUCAUCGAAAGGUGGGCUAAUACCGAAUAACACUGCGAGACUUUGGUCGAGCAGUCAAAGAGAGCCUCUGCUUGCAUGCCCUCGCUGAAGGAUGAGUCCGCGUACCAUUAGCUAGUUGGUAGGGUAAUGGCCUACCAAGGCGACGAUGGUUAGCUGGUCUGAGAGGAUGAUCAGCCACACUGGAACUGAGACACGGUCCAGACUCCUACGGGAGGCAGCAGUGAGGAAUCUUGCGCAAUGGGGGAAACCCUGACGCAGCAACGCCGCGUGAGUGAGGAAGGUCUUCGGAUCGUAAAGCUCUGUCAGAUGGAAAGAACCGCAUGGGGAUAAACAGUCCCCAUGUCUGACGGUACCAUCAGAGGAAGCACCGGCUAACUCCGUGCCAGCAGCCGCGGUAAUACGGGGGGUGCAAGCGUUGUUCGGAAUUAUUGGGCGUAAAGAGCGUGUAGGCGGCCUGAUGUGUCAGAUGUGAAAGCCCUGGGCUCAACCCAGGAAGUGCAUUUGAAACUGUCGGGCUUGAGUAGGGGAGAGGGAAGUGGAAUUCCUGGUGUAGAGGUGAAAUUCGUAGAUAUCAGGAGGAACACCGGUGGCGAAGGCGACUUCCUGGCCCUAUACUGACGCUGAGACGCGAGAGCGUGGGUAGCAAACAGGAUUAGAUACCCUGGUAGUCCACGCCGUAAACGAUGUUCACUAGGUGUUGGGGGUAUUGACCCCCUCAGUGCCGGAGCUAACGCAUUAAGUGAACCGCCUGGGGAGUACGGUCG